rnacentral:lncRNA from 1 species
CUGAUCAUAGGAUUGCCAAUUGGGCAUUGACAGUCCGUUAAGAUCAAUACGUGCUAUGUCUUCUCUCAGGGAGAGUGACUAGUCUCGAGUUAUUGGUGUGUGUGACAUCAAGACAAGUACGUAGGUGCUCAAUAGAGAAUGAUUUCACUGAACACGAUCAACGAAAAGUUCUCAUAUUCAUGUCACAUGAGAACUCAUGGUUGGGAUAAUGCAAAGUAGUCCUUUGACCUGAGGCAUCACAGUUGUCUUGUGGUUAAGUCCUUGAUCUUUGAUUAUGUCAAAGUUACCCCAUCCGCGGGUGUCCACGGCAUCGUUGGGGUUAAGCCACUU